rnacentral:sRNA from 1 species
UAAUAAACCUUAUUGAAGCGACAGCUCCCGAUUCCUUCAAUCGGGACUAUAGCGGAAAGAAGAACUAUCG